rnacentral:lncRNA from 1 species
CUAUUGCUUUCAUGGACCAGAACAUUAUUAGACGGAUUGGAAAACAGAUUGGAACUGUCCUUGAGAUCGACGAUAACAGAGGGAGUACGUUCAUUGGUCGAUAUGCUAGGGUUAAAAUUUCGCGUCCUCUUUCGGAGCCUCUGGUUCGAUGUGUUCCUCUCCACAUCGAGGGUUCAAAGGAGGAGGAGUUGGUACUAGUGCUAUACGAAAAAUUGCCGGACCAUUUUUGUUUUGCGUGUGGAAAGAUGGGUCAUUAUUUGCGGGAGUGUGAUGGAGAUGAUGAGCAGAAAGCAAACCCUAAAUUUGGAGUUUGGCUCAAGGCGGGACGAGGGGUGGAUU